rnacentral:rRNA from 1 species
AUUGAACGCUGGCGGCAUGCCUUACACAUGCAAGUCGAACGGCAGCACGGGGGCAACCCUGGUGGCGAGUGGCGAACGGGUGAGUAAUACAUCGGAACGUGCCCAGUAGUGGGGGAUAGCCCGGCGAAAGCCGGAUUAAUACCGCAUACGACCUACGGGUGAAAGCGGGGGAUCGCAAGACCUCGUGCUACCGGAGCGGCCGAUGUCAGAUUAGGUUGUUGGUGGGGUAAAANCCUACCAAGCCGACGAUCUGUAGCUGGUCUGAGAGGACGACCAGCCACACUGGGACUGAGACACGGCCCAGACUCCUACGGGAGGCAGCAGUGGGGAAUUUUGGACAAUGGGCGCAAGCCUGAUCCAGCCAU